UGGGUUAGGAUGAGGCUAAAUAUAUAAUCCAACACUUGAUCUGAGUAAUUACAGUGAUGGAAAACAAUUUCCUAUGCUUCUGAAUCUAC
rfam:Cajanus cajan Scaffold125976_10, whole genome shotgun sequence.